rnacentral:rRNA from 1 species
GAUGAACGCUGGCGGCGUGCCUAACACAUGCAAGUCGAACGGAGUUAUGAAGUUUUCGGACGGAUUAACUUAGUGGCGGACGGGUGAGUAACGCGUGGGUAACCUGCCUCAUACAGGGGGAUAACAGUUGGAAACGACUGCUAAAACCGCAUAACAUUGCGAUGCCGCAUGGCGAUGCAAUUAAAUAUUUAUAGGGAUGAGAUGGGCCCGGGUCGGAUUAGCUAGUUGGUGAGGUAAUGGCUCACCAAGGCGACGAUCAGUAGCCGGCUUGAGAGAGUGACCGGCCACAUUGGGACUGAGACACGGCCCAAACUCCUACGGGAGGCAGCAGUGGGGAAUAUUGCACAAUGGACGAAAGCCUGAUGCAGCGACGCCGCGUGAGUGAAGAAGUAUUUCGGUAUGUAAAGCUCUAUCAGCAGGGAAGAUAAUGACGGUACCUGACUAAGAAGCCCCGGCUAACUACGUGCCAGCAGCCGCAGUAA